rnacentral:rRNA from 1 species
CACAGCAGGGAAUAUUGUGCAAUGAGCGAAAGCUUGACACAGCGACACCGCGUGUGGGAUGACGGUUCUAGGAUUGUAAACCACUUUCAGGAGGGAAGAAAAUGACGGUACCUCCACAAGAAGACCCGGCCAACUAUGUGCCAGCAGCCGCGGUAAUACAUAGGGGUCAAGCGUUGUCCGGAUUUAUUGGGCGUAAAGAGCUCGUAGGCGGUUCAACAAGUCGGUCGUAAAAGUUUAGGGCUCAACCCUAAAAUGUCGAUCGAUACUGUUGUGACUAGGAUACGGUAGAGGUGAAUGGAAUUCCGAGUGUAGCGGUGAAAUGCGUAGAUAUUCGGAGGAACACCAAUUGCGAAGGCAGUUCACUGGACCGUGAUCGACGCUGAGGAGCGAAAGCUAGGGGAGCAAACAGGAUUAGAUACCCUGGUAGUCCUAGCUGUAAACGAUGGAUACUAGAUGUAGGAACUGGAUUGACGGUUUCUGUAUCGUAGCUAACGCGUUAAGUAUCCCGCCUGGGGAGUACGGUCGCAAGACUAAAACUC